AUGGAACACUCAAUCUCUUGAUGAUGUAGAGGGCAGACACUUCGAUGCUCUUACUUCCUGCCUUAACAGAGACACAGGCAGCGCUGAGGCAAAGGACAAAAGACGGCCUGAGGUUCCGCGCUGAAGGGCUAUUUCAGCAGCUCCUCUUCCACCAUGCCGCUGCUCCCACAUCGAGUUCUGACCCGUUUCGAGAUCAGGCUGGGCGGCCUUUGGGCUGAUGAUGACCAAACGGACAGAGAGAGAAUCGAGGUGCAAGCGAGCCGUGUUCAUCUUCCUCAGCCUGACGGCCCGGGUGGUCAGAGCACUAAACCUUAGCCCUGGAAACUAAGACAACCUCAGAAUGACCCCAGGUCAACAAGGCCAAAAUCAUCUCCAGCACAGUCGUGGGAUUCCCAUCAGAUCAGGAUCAGCUCCACAUUCACUCCCACUUUGAACUAGAUUCAGUGGCAUGGAUGGAAUGGUUUUUCAUGUCUAACUGAAGCUGCAUUUCCAGCAAUAAAGCCUUGCUGGUGAACAGGUGAUGUUCAGGUGGCCUAAAUCUCGGGUUGAGAGUGAGGAUGCAUCAGAUCUCCUGCCCCAUGACUCACUCACCCCAUCCAGACCCUGGAUCAUACCAACCUUAAACAGAUGGGGAUUUGUAUAAAAA